rnacentral:rRNA from 1 species
UGGGGAAUAUUGGACAAUGGGCGCAAGCCUGAUCCAGCCAUGCCGCGUGAGGGAUGAAGGCCCUAGGGUUGUAAAGCUCUUUCACCGGUGAAGAUAAUGACGGUAACCGGAGAAGAGGCCCCGGCUAACUUCGUGCCAGCAGCCGCGGUAAUACGAAGGGGGCUAGCGUUGUUCGGAUUUACUGGGCGUAAAGCGCACGUAGGCGGACUAUUAAGUCAGGGGUGAAAUCCCGGGGCUCAACCCCGGAACUGCCUUUGAUACUGGUAGUCUUGAGUUCGAGAGAGAUGAGUGGAAUACCGAGUGUAGAGAUGAAAUUCGUAGAUAUUCGGAGGAACACAAGUGGCGAAGGCGGCUCACUGGCUCGAUACUGACGCUGAGGUGCGAAAGCGUGGGGAGCAAACAGG